AAGUAAGUAAGAGCGUAUGGCGGAUGCCUAGGCUCUCAGAGGCGAAGAAGGACGUGAUAAGCUGCGAUAAGCUACGGGGAUUAGCACAUAUGAAUUGAUCCGUAGAUUUCCGAAUGGGGCAACCCGGCUACUUGAAGAGUAGUCAUCUCAAUUUAUUGAGGGGCAAACCCGGAGAACUGAAACAUCUAAGUACCCGGAGGAAGAGAAAACAAUUAGUGAUUCCGUUAGUAGUGGCGAGCGGACGCGGAACAGCCCAAACCAGAUUAGUUACGGCUAGUCUGGGGUUGUAGGACUGCGAUAUCUUAACAAAAACGAACGAGAACGACUUGGGAAGGUCGGCCAAAGAAGGUGAAAGCCCUGUAUUGGUAAGUUUUUGAGCGGUAGCAGUAUCCUGAGUAGGGCGGGGCAGGUGAAACCCCGUUUGAAUCUACCAGCACCAUCUGGUAAGGCUAAAUACUCCUGAGAGACCGAUAGUGAACAAGUACCGUGAGGGAAAGGUGAAAAGUACCCUGAAUAAGGGGGUGAAAUAGAACCUGAAACCAUACGCUUACAAGCGGUUGGAGCCAAAUAAUUUUGGUGACAGCGUGCCUUUUGCAUAAUGAGCCUACGAGUUACUCCUCUCUAGCAAGGUUAAGGACUUCAGGUCCGUAGCCGGAGCGAAAGCGAGUCUGAAUAGGGCGCAUUAGUUAGAGGGGGUAGACGCGAAACCCGGUGAUCUACCCAUGACCAGGUUGAAGUUGCAGUAACAUGCAAUGGAGGACCGAACCAGUUGACGUUGAAAAGUCUUUGGAUGAGUUGUGGGUAGGGGUGAAAGGCCAAUCAAACCGGGAAAUAGCUCGUACUCCCCGAAAUGCUUUUAGGAGCAGCGUGGAGGUAGAGUCUGUUAGAGGUAGAGCUACCGAUAGGACUAGGGGGAGUCAAAUCCUACCAAAUCCUGACGAACUCCGAAUGCUAACAGAUAUACUCCGCAGUGAGGGCAAGGGUGCUAAGGUCCUUGUCCGAGAGGGAAAGAACCCGGACCAUCAGCUAAGGUCCCCAAAUAUAUACUAAGUUGAACUAAGGAGGUUCAGUUGCUUAGACAGCCAGGAUGUUGGCUUGGAAGCAGCCAUUCAUUUAAAGAGUGCGUAACAGCUCACUGGUCGAGCGACAGGGCAUCGAUGAUGAUCGGGCAUUAAGUAUAGUACCGAAGCUAAGGCAGUAGUUUACUACUGGGUAGGGGAGCAUUCUAUUCCGCGAUGAAGGUAUCUGGUGAUGGAUAUUGGAGCGUAUAGAAAAGCAAAUGUAGGCAUAAGUAACGAUAAGGCGGGUGAGAAACCCGCCCACCGAUAGACUAAGGUUUCCUGAUCAACGCUAAUCGGAUCAGGGUUAGUCGGGACCUAAGGCGAAACCGAAUGGUGUAGUCGAUGGACAAUUGGUUAAUAUUCCAAUACUACCGUAUUCAGCGAUGGGGUGACGGAGUAGUGAAAGAUCCGCGAACUGACGGAAUAGUUCGUUAAAGGGUGUAGUUAUAGGCUGUGUAGGCAAAUCCGCAUGGCUUGAUGAACCUGAUAGUACCACAAUGCUUCGGCAGCGUGGAUAGUGAUCCUAAUCAGACUUCCAAGAAAAACCUCUAAGCAUAUGUAUAUGGUACCCGUACCGCAAACCGACACAGGUAGUCAAGGAGAGAAUCCUGAGGUGCUCGAGUGAUCCGUGGCUAAGGAACUAGGCAAAAUGGCCCUGUAACUUCGGGAGAAGGGGCGCUUCCUCUGACUUGUCAGAGAAGCCGCAGUGAAUAGGCCCAGGCGACUGUUUAGCAAAAACACAUGGCUUUGCGAAAUCGAAAGAUGAAGUAUAAGGCCUGACACCUGCCCGGUGCUGGAAGGUUAAGGGG
rnacentral:rRNA from 1 species